GACAGAGGGUGCAAACGUUGUUCGGAAUUACUGGGCAUAAAGAGCACGUAGGUGGUUCGCUAAGUCACGUGUGAAAUCCCCCGGCUCAACCGGGGAAUUGCGCGUGAUACUGACGAACUCGAGGCGGGUAGGGGUGAGCGGAACUCCAGGUGGAGCGGUGAAAUGCGUAGAUAUCUGGAGGAACACCGGUGGCGAAAGCGGCUCACUGGACCCGAUCUGACACUGAGGUGCGAAAGCUAGGGUAGCAAACGGG
rnacentral:rRNA from 1 species